GUAUGAUCAUAUCAUGCUAUUCCUACAAUAUUAUAACUAACACUUACUCUCAUAAGUUUGAGUCUCAAGUCACGAAAAAGGGCCAACUCUCACGUGUUGGCGGAAAGUUACCAAAAUAUGUUAAGAACUUAAUUCAGAGAUAAUGUUGCUAAACGAUUUACAGUCGAUAAUCUUUCGAAAGCAGAAAAACUUAGGUUAGCAUCACAUAGAAAGUUAGCGCAAUU